CUACGGGACGCUGCAGUGAGGAAUAUUGCACAAUGGGGGGGAACCCUGAUGCAGCAACGCCGCGUGGAGGAUGACGCAUUUCGGUGUGUAAACUCCUUUUAUAUGUCAAGAAAAUGACGGUAGCAUAUGAAUAAGCACCGGCUAACUCCGUGCCAGCAGCCGCGGUAAUACGGAGGGUGCAAGCGUUACUCGGAAUCACUGGGCGUAAAGGACGCGUAGGCGGGUUGGAAAGUCAGGUGUGAAAUCCUACAGCUUAACUGUAGAACUGCACUUGAAACUUCUAAUCUAGAGUAUGGGAGGGGGAGAUGGAAUUAGAGGUGUAGGGGUAACAUCCGUAGAUAUCACUAGGAAUACCUAAAGCGAAGGCGAUCUCCUGGAACAUUACUGACGCUAAGGCGUGAAAGCGUGGGGAGCAAACAGGAUUAGAUACCCUUGUAGUC
rnacentral:rRNA from 1 species